AUGUUUUUGUCUGCAUCUGUAGAAAGUGAUGCAGAGGAUGACCAGAUUUCAAUUCCUGAGAGUAACAACGACCCAAUGAUGACUCCUAACCCUGCCAGAGCCCUCAUUUGUGGGGAGAGAGGAGACUCAUCUGUCGUAAAGUACAAGAUUACAGCAACUCCUGGUGGCCUUCCAAACCAACAGAAAGGACCGGCACGCGUCAACGGCCAGGAGGUUCGCUUCUUCACUCCCGUUAGACGCUCAGUGCGAAUCGAGAGAGCCUCACUCCGAUAUCCUGCGUCCCUCCAGGACCAUGAUCUUUGUGUGGCCUCCUACAAUGACCUCAUCUCCGAGGAGGAGAGAAGAGAAGAACAGCGGGGUGGGGAGGCCAGCCCAUCUGCUAACAGCACGCCAAUGUAUGUCUACAGACAGAACGAAGCACUUCAAGACAAGGUGCUCGUUCAGCUAGUCUACGAUGAAGGCAUUUAGCUUUAGGUGCUAACUUUAGCUUCACCAGUUUGCAGUUGUUAAAUGCAGAUGAUGAUGAAUUUUUAACUGUUCACACAGCAGCAAGAAAAAAAGUAAAAUGUAUGUGUGUACUUUGGUGUUGUCAGAUCUCACCCUUUCUCUGGAAAAGAACCUGACAAUUAGGUAAUGAGCUGUUUUAUAGCAAUAGGAAUUUUUUCCACUUGUGCUUAUCCCUUUGCUCUUUGUAUUAUUUUGUUCCUUCUACUAAUGUGUACAUAGUUAUGUAAAAUAAAUGUGUUUUUUAAACCUAUAAAGUAUAUCCCCUGCCCUUUAUUAAUCUUGAUCUAGCACGUGUUCUCUACACAACAGCUAGUAUUACAAAAGUACAAUGAAACUACCUAUUGUUUUUUGCCUUUGGCAUGUCUGAGUUGGUGGAAAGUUAGUAUUGGUUGUCUGUACAUUAUGUCUUACACUGGUCCCACCCCUGAAUGGCAUGCUAGAAGUGAUUGUUGCGAUACCAAUGAUACAAGCAUGACUAAACACUGCUGACGAUAAUAAGGUUUCAUCAACUAAACUGAAUUGUGUAGAGGCUACUUGUUGAGUUGAGUUGAGUUUAGCUGGAAAGGCAGCAUAGCAUCUCUUCCACAACUGGGAAUUGCUGACUGGACCUCGUCCAUGACGUUAUAAUUUAAAUGUGCUUUUAUAAGUGUGUUAGAGAUUACACUAUUUUAACGCCCAUAGGCAUUUAGUCCAGAUUUCCGGGAGUACCUUGGAAAAAUUACGUUUCUUUGAAAUACUUAUUACAUUAUUGAUUAUUAAUUAUGAUUAUUAUGACUUAUAUUACGAAGUGGAUGAUCUCUUCAAAGUAUUGUAUAAAGGUCUGCCAAACACAAUCCUUCGUCCAAACAUUGAGGUGCUGAUCAUCUCCCGAUUGUGUUCCUUUACUUUUCUACGUAUUCUUUUCUUCACUUUCUUUUUGGAUCCCAAACGUUGUAUGAGCCCAGACAAGUGUGUACAAAACAUACUAUGUAUAUAUUAUAUUUUCAUUAGAGAUCAUAUUUAUUACAUAUGUGCAAUGUGCACCUCACCAAUAUCAGUGAUGCUGGAUAGAUGAGUAGCAAUGAUCUUCUGGGCUCUUUCAAUCACCCACUGCAGAGUCCUGUCCUGAGCCGUAGCUGUCCGAGCUGCCAGUUUGUGAUAUUUCCAGUCAGGAUACUUUCUCGCUCCUCUGUAAAAGUUAACAAGAGCCUAGCACAGGAUUUUUUUCUUUCUUAAGCUUCCUUAAGAAAUAGUUGUUUUUGAGCUUUCUUAACCAGUGUGGAGAUGUGAGAUGACCAUGACAAGUUCUCUGCAAACUGGUGGGGGUACAGGCUGGCAGGGAUGUUAUUCGUUAUGUGCUGGAGAACCAGUUUCUCUGAGAGUGAGUGCCGCAGGGUCUUCCGUGACAAUAAUAUGUUAAAAAUGUCAGUAAUGAUCAAUCAACUAGCUGAUUGGCACAUAUGUUUUGUACACAGCCAGAUAGGUUUUCAGGCCCAGCCCUUUAGUAAUGUAGGAAGUAUGACUCAGCAUUAAACAUUGAAGGAAAUUUUUUUUUUCCCCUUUAUGAAAUAAAUCUUGGCUGAAGGGGGGGACAGAUGAGUACAAUCUUGUAAGUCAGUCAGAGUUGGGAGUGCUGAGAAAAACUGAUGUGAUGAUGUCAAAAGAUCUAGAUCUAUAACCAAAAUCACACA
rnacentral:lncRNA from 15 species